rnacentral:rRNA from 1 species
GGGUGAGUAACACGUGGGAACGUACCUUUUGGUUCGGAACAACUGAGGGAAACUUCAGCUAAUACCGGAUAAGCCCUAACGGGGAAAGAUUUAUCGCCGAAAGAUCGGCCCGCGUCUGAUUAGCUAGUUGGUGAGGUAAUGGCUCACCAAGGCGACGAUCAGUAGCUGGUCUGAGAGGAUGAUCAGCCACACUGGGACUGAGACACGGCCCAGACUCCUACGGGAGGCAGCAGUAGGGAAUAUUGGACAAUGGGGGCAACCCUGAUCCAGCCAUGCCGCGUGAGUGAUGAAGGCCCUAGGGUUGUAAAGCUCUUUUGUGCGGGAAGAUAAUGACGGUACCGCAAGAAUAAGCCCCGGCUAACUUCGUGCCAGCAGCCGCGGUAAUACGAAGGGGGCUAGCGUUGCUCGGAAUCACUGGGCGUAAGGGGUGCGUAGGCGGGUCUUUAAGUCAGGGGUGAAAUCCUGGAGCUC